GACGAACGCUGGCGGCGUGCUUAACACAUGCAAGUCGAACGGGUCUGCCCUGUUUUUUGCGGGGUGGGUCAGUGGCGAACGGGUGAGUAACACGUGAGUAACCUGCCCCUCACUUCUGGAUAACCGCUUGAAAGGGUGGCUAAUACGGGGUGUUCUGGCUGUGCCGCAUGGUGUGGCUGGGAAAGAUUCACUUUUGUGGUGUUUUGGUGGGGGAUGGGCUCGCGGCCUAUCAGCUUGUUGGUGGGGUGAUGGCCUGCCAAGGCUUUGACGGGUAGCCGGCCUGGGAGGGUGGGCGGUCACACUGGGGCUGAGAUACGGCCCAGACUCCUGCGGGAGGCAGCAGUGGGGGGUAUUGCACAAUGGGCGGAAGCCUGAUGCAGCGACGUCGCGUGAGGGAUGGAGGCCUUCGGGUUGUGAACCUCUUUCGCCGGUGAAGAAGGUCCUGCUCUUUGUGGUGGGGUUGACGGUAGCCGGGUUAUGAAGCGCCGGCUAACUACGUG
rnacentral:rRNA from 1 species